GUGGGGAAUAUUGGACAAUGGGGGGAACCCUGAUCCAGCCAUGCCGCGUGUGUGAAGAAGGCCUUUUGGUUGUAAAGCACUUUAAGCGAGGAGGAGGCUACCGAGAUUAAUACUCUUGGAUAGUGGACGUUACUCGCAGAAUAAGCACCGGCUAACUCUGUGCCAGCAGCCGCGGUAAUACAGAGGGUGCGAGCGUUAAUCGGAUUUACUGGGCGUAAAGCGUGCGUAGGCGGCUUUUUAAGUCGGAUGUGAAAUCCCCGAGCUUAACUUGGGAAUUGCAUUCGAUACUGGGAAGCUAGAGUAUGGGAGAGGAUGGUAGAAUUCCAGGUGUAGCGGUGAAAUGCGUAGAGAUCUGGAGGAAUACCGAUGGCGAAGGCAGCCAUCUGGCCUAAUACUGACGCUGAGGUACGAAAGCAUGGGGAGCAAACAGGAUUAGAAACCCGAGUAGUCC
rnacentral:rRNA from 1 species